rnacentral:rRNA from 1 species
CACACGACUCUUGGCAACGGAUAUCUCGGCUCUCGCAUCGAUGAAGAACGUAGCAAAAUGCGAUACCUGGUGUGAAUUGCAGAAUCCCGUGAACCAUUGAGUUUUUGAACGCAAGUUGCGCCUGAGGCCUUCUGGUCGAGGGCACGUCUGCCUGGGCGUCAUGC